ACGGUGUAUGAGUCACAAACGAUUGAAGCCCACCAUGGUGGAAGGCCUACGAAGAGAUGUUCAAAGCAUCUCUCGCUUAUCAACUUAAUAAUGGUUUGGUUGAGGGUUUUAGGUCUCAUCACAUAUAAAUAUUCAUUUUAAUCUUUAUUAAAACAAUUUUGGUCCUAUUACAACUAUUGGUCCAUUUGAUUGAACUUAGUUGUAUAUAAUACUCCCACUAUGCUUAUAAAACGUUUUUUAAAGCAAGAGUAUAUGAUACUACUAACAUAAACUUUGCAUUCAUUUG
rnacentral:lncRNA from 1 species